GCUUAACGCGAAGAACCUUACCACCUUUUGACAUGCCUGGACCGCCACAGAGAUGUGGCUUUCCCUUCGGGGACUGGGACACAGGUGCUGCAUGGCUGUCGUCAGCUCGUGUCGUGAGAUGUUGGGUUAAGUCCCGCAACGAGCGCAACCCUCGCCAUUAGUUGCCAUCAUUCAGUUGGGAACUCUAAUGGACUGCCGGUGCUAAGCCGGAGGAAGGUGGGGAUGACGUCAAGUCCUCAUGGCCCUUACAGGGUGGGCUACACACGUGCUACAAUGGCGACUACAGAGGGUUAAUCCUUAAAAGUCGUCUCAGUUCGGAUUGUCCUCUGCAACUCGAGGGCAUGAAGUUGGAAUCGCUAGUAAUCGCGGAUCAGCAUGCCGCGGUGAAUA
rnacentral:rRNA from 1 species